UGGGGAAUUUUGGACAAUGGGCGAAAGCCUGAUCCAGCAAUGCCGCGUGUGUGAAGAAGGCCUUCGGGUUGUAAAGCACUUUUGUCCGGAAAGAAAUCCUUGGCUCUAAUACAGUCGGGGGAUGACGGUACCGGAAGAAUAAGCACCGGCUAACUACGUGCCAGCAGCCGCGGUAAUACGUAGGGUGCAAGCGUUAAUCGGAAUUACUGGGCGUAAAGCGUGCGCAGGCGGUUUGCUAAGACCGAUGUGAAAUCCCCGGGCUCAACCUGGGAACUGCAUUGGUGACUGGCAGGCUAGAGUAUGGCAGAGGGGGGUAGAAUUCCACGUGUAGCAGUGAAAUGCGUAGAGAUGUGGAGGAAUACCGAUGGCGAAGGCAGCCCCCUGGGCCAAUACUGACGCUCAUGCACGAAAGCGUGGGGGAGCAAACAGGAUUAGAUACCCUGGUAGUCCACGCCCUAAACGAUGUCAACUAGUUGUUGGGGAUUCAUUUCCUUAGUAACGUAGCUAACGCGUGAAGUUGACCGCCUGGGGAGUACGGUCGCAAGAUUAAAACUUAAAUGAAUUGACGGGGUCAUAGCUG
rnacentral:rRNA from 1 species